rnacentral:rRNA from 1 species
GAUGAACGCUGACAGAAUGCUUAACACAUGCAAGUCUUUGGCGAAGCUGUGCUUGCACCGCCUAGCCAAGGCGGACGGGUGAGUAACGCGUAAGGAACUUGCCCUGCAGUCAGGGAUAACAGACGGAAACGACUGAUAAGACCUGGUAAAGUCAGGCGGACUCAUGUCCAGCCUGAUGAAAAGAGAUGCUGCAGGAGAGCCUUGCGUCCUAUUAGCUUGUUGGUGGGGUAACGGCCCACCAAGGCGAUGAUAGGUAGCCGGCCUGAGAGGGUGGACGGCCACAAGGGGACUGAGAUACGGCCCUUACUCCUACGGGAGGCAGCAGUGGGGAAUAUUGGACAAUGGGGGCAACCCCGAUCCAGCAAUUCUGUGUGCACGAUGAAGGUUUUCGGAUUGUAAAGUGCUUUCAGCAGGGAAGAAAAAAAUGACGGUACCUGCAGAAGAAGCGACGGCUAAAUACGUG